rnacentral:lncRNA from 1 species
CCUCAACCGUGACUCCACCUGUCUGCCCGUUCUGUAGAAGCACCAUCGCAAGGUUAGUCGUCGCCCAGAACAACAACAACAACAACGAAAAAAGCAAAACCUUAGACGACGUUGUUGUCGAUCUCGAGGCAAGUGAUGUAAGCUCCUCCAAAUUCAGAAAACACAGAAGAUCAAUAAACCUAGGCGAAGAAAGCAGCAGUUUCAUGGGACUAUCAACCAUCGGAUCGUUCGGACGAAUAACCGGCCGUGGCUCGGGUAGAAUCGCAGCCGACAACGAGCUGAUGGACAAAC